GUGAUCAUCAUCCUUAUCAUCAUCACCAUCAGCAGUCAUGAUCUUCCCUUUUCUCCUGCUGGGUCUUGCCUGCCUUCAGUCAUUCACAAUGGCUGAUGAAACAGAAGGUUGUUUGUGCAUUCUGUGCUACGCACUUCCUGGUUCCUGAGUUGUUUGCACCGAGUCCUUUUUUCCUGCGACUGUUGGCGAUAAUUACGUUUUUUAACUUUUUUUUCUACAAAUAAUUUUCCAGUAUCCUCUUCAUUUUUAUUGUACUGUCGCUUUCCUUUUUGUACUUUUCACUUUCGCUUUCCUUUUUCCGGUGUUUUUUUUCUCUCUCUCUCUCUUUUUUUGGAAGAACGCUGAGACCGGAAGCUUUCUUUUUCUCUCCUCCUGUGUAAAGACCACAAGCGGAGGCCAUCCACAUUGGAUCUGCUUUAAUAUCAACAGAUCUUCAAUUAAGACCUCGACUGGCUAUUGUAGCCUGCAGGGAAUUAGCCAUCAGACAUUCUGUAGCAUGUCCCAGACCCGGUGAAAUGUAACUGAAUUGUCUUGGCCAGCCCUAAGGUUCCCAUCUACAUCCCAUCAUUGCUGAGCAGUGUGCUCCCAUCACCCAAUCAAGCAUCCAGCCAGAGCAGGUCAUGAUAUUUUUUAACCAUAUUAACAUACCAUUAUUGUGUAUUAUGCCUGAUGUCAAGACUCUCAUCUCUGCGAGCCUACCACACAGACUUAAUACUUGUCAUUUUUUAGGGCAUACCUAACAACCUGUGUUUUCUCCCCCCCCCCCAAUCUGUCCCUCUGAGUUACAUGUUGGUCCUGAGAUUGAGAUGCUGACCUCUUCUGCCCCUCGGACCUGCUUGAGCCAUCCUGGUGCCCUGUGUCUGUUUGGAGUUUUAUUGCAUCGCUCCUGUGGAGGACGGCCCCAUGAGGACAGUUGAAAGUUACACCUGGAGGACGCUCUGGACUCUUACAGUGAUGCUUUUAUGGCUGUGGACUACAGUUGACUUGCUAACUUUAGGACUGCAGUUGUCAUGAACAGUUUUGCACUCAAGUUUUCAUCAAUGAAGAGUUACAACAUCAAUGAAACUGACUUCAUAUUAAAACUGUUAAUGUUAUAGUCAUGCUGUCUGUUGUUGCCCAAAUGAGGAUGGGUUCCCUUUUGAGUCUGGUUCCUCUCGAGGUUUCUUCCUCAUGUCGUCUGAGGGAGUUUUUCCUUGCCACCGUCGCCACAGGCUUGCUCAUUGGGGAUAGAUUAGGGACAAAAUUAGCUCAUGUUUUAAGUCGUUCAAAUUCUGUAAAGCUGCUUUGCGACAAUGUUUAUUGUUAAAAGCGCUAUACAAAUAAACUUGACUUGACUUGACCCUUA